GGAACGGCGAGAAGAAGCAGCAAAGCUUGGGGGAUCCGGGAUAAAAACGGCCGGCGGCUCGGAGUAAAACCUUUCGCCGAAUGAAAUCACAUCAGCCUACUACCAUCCAGGGGAGGCAGCCGUAAGACCGGCCUUUCGGUUUCUCCUCACUGCUGCACAUCGCAUCACCAAAGUGUAUUUACAGGGCAAUUCGGCUAGCGCUCGCCUGCUGGGCCGGCAUUCCAGGCCAGGCAUCGCAAAUGAUUAUUCAUGCGAUCCUCCCGCCAGCCUACCAAGUAAACACAGCAACACCUCUAAAGAAAAGAAAAGGAGAAACAAACCGCAACAGCCAACCAUACAUUUGAUCUCAGGAGCUCCACAUGUGCCUACAGCACAAAACAAUCCUCGCGUGCGCACGCACAGAAUAAUUCUCGCUGCAGAGCGGCAGCGCCGAUGAAACCGGUUUCUUUCCUGGCUUCUCCUCCAGCACAGAAAUUUCUUUCCUGGCUUCUCCUCCAGCACAGAAAUUUCUUUCCUGGCUAUCCCUGUUGAGAUAAGGAUGGCCCAGAAAGAACAAAGCUCAACUGGUGCCACCGUGAACUUAACUCUGUGGAGUAUAGCUACUCUCGAGCCUCCAGGAAUUAUAAGAGAAGCCUCCAUGAGUUUCUCUUGGUCACCAGUCCCAUCCCCAAGAUGAGGAAAGGCGCUCUCGCUCUCUACCUCCUCCUCCUACUCACCUUUGCUUCCAUGGCGGAGGAGGAUGCAGCUCAUCAUCGUCUGAGGCCUCAUCAACAUGAAACCCAAGGGGAGAGGAUGCAAACUGCCAGGAAGGUUGGGCGCAUGGCAGGUGGCUCUGGAGAAGGCAGCGGUAGGAACACUGGUGGUGGCGCCGCAGACACAGGGCCGCGCCGCACCAAGAACGGCGGCACUGUGGCCUCUGCUUUGGCGCUGGUUUUCACAGCUACCGCCCUUCUCUCCACGCUCAGCUUCUGAAGCGCUCAUCUUGUGGUGUUGCAGUAUCAGAAACUGGUUGCCUGAUGUUUGUCAGUGUCGAACAGUUGUGUUUACCGGUCUCCAUCCUGUCUGUGGAAGUUACUGGAGUCACAUCCCCUUAUUUGUUGUCAGUAAAACGAUCAGGCAUGAAUGAAAAAGUUGUUAUACAUGGAAAUCGACUAAUACUAAGGAUAUAUUCAGAGAUCUGCAUGUUAUGUUAUGUUAGACUAGGCAGACUGUUCAUCAGUGUAAGCAAUACAUAUUCAGCCAGCUUAAAAAGUUA